rnacentral:misc_RNA from 1 species
CCAAUAGCGUAUAUUAAAGUUGUUGCAGUUAAAAAGCUCGUAGUUGAAUUUUGGAUUCUUCCAAUUGGUCCAUCUUUUAGAUGAGUACUGGUUGUGUGGGGUCUAUCCGCCUGGUGAUACGUAAUGUCCUUUAUUGGAUGUUUCGGGUAGUCAGGACCUUUACCUUGAAAAAAUUAGAGUGUUUAAAGCAGGCUUAUGCCGGAAUACAUUAGCAUGGAAUAAUAGAAUAGGACGAAGUUGUUUUAUUUUGUUGGUUUCUAGGACAACCGUAAUGAUUAAUAGGGAUAGUUGGGUGCAUUAGUAUUCAAUUGUCAGAGGUGAAAUUCUUGGAUUUAUUGAAGACUAACUACUGCGAAAGCAUUUGCCAAGGAUGUUUUCAUUAAUCAAGAACGAAAGUUAGGGGAUCGAAGACGAUCAGAUACCGUCGUAGUCUUAACCAUAAACUAUGCCGACUAGGGAUCGGGCGAUGUUGUUUCCAUGACUCGCUCGGCACCUUAUG